UUCAAAAGUAAACAUUCAACGAAAACAAGUUAACUUUGUAACUUCUGAUGUACGUGCUCCCUAGCAUGUAAGCAAUGGCUAUCUGACUGACUAAUAGCUAAUCAAUAGAUCAGGUCAUAAACAGUGCCUUCAGCAACUUGUUUACAU